CCGGAACGCAGGGCAGCUGCCAGUGCAGGGAGGUUUGACCGCUGCACAAACCUCCAGUCUUUGUUCUCAUACAUAGGGUGGCCUAAAGGCAUGGACGCCACAGACUCCAUCAACUCCCACCAUCUUGCUCCAACCGAGGCUGGUCUUCAGGGUAACUUGUGAGGUAUAUGUUUUCCCUGCGCUUGCCUGAGAGAGAGAUGUCAGCAUUACCGGUCCACUGCUUCAAUUCAGAAAGUGUGUUCCAGCCCCGGCGACCCCAUCCCAGGCGCACUGGAGAAUGACUGCCUGCCAGAGGUUUGCUUUCAGGCAGCCGUCAGGGGGCAGCCCGUGUAUAUAGGCAACCUCGGCAGUCGCUUAGGGUGCUGCAUUCAACGCGGCGCCCAAUGAUGUCAUCAUGCCGUUGCGGCCCGUGGAGGCGGCGGUGCCAAUCGUGCAUUCCGCCUAGGGCGCCAAUUGCCAGCAGCUCUCCUCGAGUUGCUCCUGUCCGCUUGACUUACAUUGUACCAUGCCCGUUCUAGGAGACAUGCCAGCAUGCACCAGGCUGUGACAUCACAGCUGCC